rnacentral:rRNA from 1 species
GGUCCGAACGGAUGAAACCCAGCUUGCUGGGUGGAUUAGUGGCGAACGGGUGAGUAACACGUGAGUAACCUGCCCUCGACUCUGGGAUAAGCCCGGGAAACUGGGUCUAAUACUGGAUAUUCAAUUUCUACCGCAUGGUGGUUUUUGGAAAGGAUUCUGGUCGAGGAGGGACUCGCGGCCUAUCAGCUUGUUGGUGAGGUAAUGGCUCACCAAGGCGACGACGGGUAGCCGGCCUGAGAGGGUGACCGGCCACACUGGGACUGAGACACGGCCCAGACUCCUACGGGAGGCAGCAGUGGGGAAUAUUGCACAAUGGGCGAAAGCCUGAUGCAGCGACGCCGCGUGAGGGAUGACGGCCUUCGGGUUGUAAACCUCUUUCAGUAGGGAAGAAGCGAAAGUGACGGUACCUGCAGAAGAAGCGCCGGCUAACUACGUGCCAGCAGCCGCGGUAAUACGUAGGGCGCAAGCGUUAUCCGGAAUUAUUGGGCGUAAAGAGCUCGUAGGCGGUUUGUCGCGUCUGCCGUGAAAGUCCGGGGCUUAACUCCGGAUCUGCGGUGGGUACGGGCAGACUAGAGUGCUGUAGGGGAGACUGGAAUUCCUGGUGUAGCGGUGAAAUGCGCAGAUAUCAGGAGGAACACCGAUGGCGAAGGCAGGUCUCUGGGCAGUAACUGACGCUGAGGAGCGAAAGCAUGGGGAGCGAACAGGAUUAGAUACCCUGGUAGUCCAUGCCGUAAACGUUGGGCACUAGAUGUGGGGGACAUUCCACGUUUUCCGCGUCGUUAGCUAACGCAUUAAGUGCCCCGCCUGGGGAGUACGGCCGCAAGGCUAAAACUCAAAGGAAUUGACGGGGGCCCGCACAAGCGGCGGAGCAUGCGGAUUAAUUCCGAUGCAACGCGAAGAACCUUACCAAGGCUUGACAUGGACCGGAUCGGCUAGAAAUAGUCUUUCCCUUUCGGGGCUGGUUCACAUGGUGGUGCAUGUUUGUCGUCAGCUCGUGUCGUGAGAUGUUUGGGUUAAGUCCCGCAACGAGCGUCUAUCU